rnacentral:rRNA from 1 species
CAGCCGCCGCGGUAAUACGUAGGGUGCGAGCGUUAAUCGGAAUUACUGGGCGUAAAGCGUGCGCAGGCGGUUUUGUAAGACAGGCGUGAAAUCCCCGGGCCCAACCUGGGAAUGGCGCUUGUGACUGCAAAGCUAGAGUGCGGCAGAGGGGGAUGGAAUUCCGCGUGUAGCAGUGAAAUGCGUAGAUAUGCGGAGGAACACCGAUGGCGAAGGCAAUCCCCUGGGCCUGCACUGACGCUCAUGCACGAAAGCGUGGGGAGCAAACAGGAUUAGAUACCCGGGUAGUCCCUGUCUCUUAUAC